UACGUAGGGUGCAAGCGUUGUCCGGAAUUAUUGGGCGUAAAGAGCUCGUAGGCGGUUUGUCGCGUCUGCUGUGAAAACUCGGGGCUUAACUCCGGGCCUGCAGUGGGUACGGGCAGACUAGAGUGCGGUAGGGGAGACUGGAAUUCCUGGUGUAGCGGUGAAAUGCGUAGAUAUCGGGAGGAACACCUGAGGCGAAGGCGGGCUACUGGGCCGAUACUGACGCUGAUGCGCGAAAGCCAGGGGAGCAAACGGG
rnacentral:rRNA from 1 species